UCGUCAUUGGCCAUGACCGCAGAGGCGGAGAAAUGAAAUCGGAAAGCAGAUUUAAACCAAGUUUGAGGUGUUGUUCUGUUUGCUAGUACUGUGAGAAAACGUCAUUACCGAAGAGGAGUGGAUGCUAAAACAAACUCUGUAGCUGCUUUUUUGUGGAACACGAGUGAGGCUGGACGCUGAACAUUCCUGCGGCGCCAAGGUUUACUCAUUCAGCUGCUGCAGCUUGGACAGAAACACCAGCUAUCAGCUAACAAGUGUCACCACUUUGUCAAUGAUCAUAGAGGCGUCGUCCACGAUCAGACAGUGUUUUCAUGCAAUGAAGAUGUUCUUUGAGACCAGGACUGAGUCUUCCAGGAUUCAAACUUCAACCAUUAAAUCACAGAGAGAAGAGACAGAUGUGAAGACAUUUUCAGAAGGUCUUCAGCUGCUGUCAUCUUCUCCUCCUGCAGAGACAAGAACACACGUUAAUCACAGAAACUGAUCAGUAAAUCUGUUUUUCCUUUCCUAAACUGAUUUUUUUUGUUGUUCUUGUUGAUACGUAAUUACAGCGAUUUAAACUAAACGUUCUACAACUCAUUCAUUAUCACAUAUUUUAGUGUACAGUUAUGACUAGACAUAGUUCUGAAACUUUGUAAAAUAAGAACCUACUGUAAUUAUUACAUAGUUGUCCUGUUUACUGUUACUAAAAUGAUGUUAUUUUACUAAAAUUAUUUUUACUUAAUAAAUUACUUUAUUAUUUUUUAUAUAUAUAAUAUCCUGCAGCAUCUUUAAUGACAGAAUACACUGACAUUUUUCCACUGCAUGUUAUACUAUGGCCUUUUAAGUGAUUUUUUAAUUACAUUUUUUGACGCCUUACUAUACUAUUACAUUCAGCUUAAGACAAAGGCACUAUCUUAAAGCAGACAUCUUACCUUUGUUUUCCACAGACACACAGUGUUUGUGGGUUAAGUCAGAUUUUGUGUUUGCCAUUUAAUUUUGGUAUUUUGCUAUUUCAAACAGUGCAAUAUCAGUACUCAAAUCCAAUCUAUUACUGUGUACAUAGUCCUGUGUAUACCGUUCAUGUUGUUUUAUAUCUUGCCUUGUUUAUAUUUUUGCUGCUGUAACACCACAUUUCCCCACUGUGGGACUAAUAAAGGAUUAUCAUACUCUGA